rnacentral:rRNA from 1 species
GACGAACGCUGGCGGCGUGCUUAACACAUGCAAGUCGAACGGAAAGGCCCUGCUUUUGUGGGGUGCUCGAGUGGCGAACGGGUGAAUAACACGUGAGUAACCUGCCCUUGACUUUGGGAUAACUUCAGGAAACUGGGGCUAAUACCGGAUAGGAGCUCCUGCUGCAUGGUGGGGGUUGGAAAGUUUCGGCGGUUGGGGAUGGACUCGCGGCUUAUCAGCUUGUUGGAGGGGUAGUGGCUUACCAAGGCUUUGACGGGUAGCCGGCCUGAGAGGGUGACCGGCCACAUUGGGACUGAGAUACGGCCCAGACUCCUACGGGAGGCAGCAGUGGGGAAUAUUGCACAAUGGGCGGAAGCCUGAUGCAGCAACGCCGCGUGCGGGAUGACGGCCUUCGGGUUGUAAACCGCUUUCGCCUGUGACGAAGCGUGAGUGACGGUAAUGGGUAAAGAAGCACCGGCUAACUACGUG